UUAUUUAAGCCUUAGCAUCCUGGCCAGGCUAAGGGUCCAAAUUCAUUCACAAGUACCACAAUCAUAAACACCACGAUCAACUCGUGGUCAGCCUAAAAUAGGCCCGUACUAUAGUGACUCCUAGUCCACAUGGGCCAUGCACUGAGUCUGCUAUGAUACCAUUUGUAAAAAUCUAGGACCUCAUCUAGAAAAAAAAGCUGGUCAAAAGGCAUUACUAGGGUUUUUUGGACCUGUAUAAGUACCCAAAAUCUACCAACGCAUAGUUGAUGUGGGACUAGACACACGCCAGCAUGAG
rnacentral:lncRNA from 1 species